rnacentral:rRNA from 1 species
CGGUGGAACAUCGUAGUCUUUGAACGCAAGUUGCGCCCGAUGCCAUUAGGUUGAGGGCACGUCUGCCUGGGUGUCACAUAUCGAAGCCUCAUGCCAAUUUCCUUUUGACAGGUAUUGUGCGGGGUGAAUGUUGGCCUCCCGUGAGCUCUUUCGUCUCAUGGUUGGUUGAAAAUUGAGACCUUGGUAGGGUGUGCCAUGAUAGAUGGUGGUUGUGUGACCCACGAGACCAAUCAUGCGCUACUCUAUUGAAUUCGGCCUCUUUUACCCAUAUGCGUUUCUAAACGCUCGUGAUGAGACCUCAGGUCAGGCGGGGCUACCCGCUGAAUUUAAGCAUAUCAAUAAGCGGAGGAAAAGAAACUAACAAGGAUUCCCUUAGUAACGGCGAGCGAACCGGGAUAAGCCCACCAUGAGAAUCGGUCGCCCUCGGCGUUCGAAUUGUAGUCGAAAAAAAACCGUCAAAACGCG